rnacentral:rRNA from 1 species
UUUAAGCAUAUCACUCAGUGGAGGAAGUGCAAGCAACCGCGAUUGCUUCAGUAAUGGCGAAUGAAUCAGCAACAGACCGACAGGGGACCCGCCCCGAACCAGGAACUCCAAGGCGCACGCCGUGCCCGGCUCUUCUCCCGCCUGCGGGCGGCGUGCGAUCGGCUAUCGUGGAUUCCAGCAAAGGCUGUGGGCUAUGGGGCGGCCGGCCGCCGCCGGCGGUGGAUCCCAGUUGCCAAGGAUGGAAGCGCCCCUGGAAAGGGCCUGCCACAGAGGGAUACUGUCCCCUACACUGGCUGAGCACUGUGGACUCCCCGCGGGCGUGGCCGGUCGCACCCUGGAGUAGAGUGGCUUGGGACUGCAGUUUGAAGUGCGGCGUGUAUCCGCCGCAAGGAUGCAUACAGACCUGGGACCGAUAGUGCAGAAGUAGAGCGAUCGAAGGAUGCAAAGAACUCCGUGAAGAGGGUUAAAAGUCCCUGAAGNNNNNNNNNNNNCGGCGGUGAGUGGUGUUGUGGCGAUCAUCCAGCAGAGAAUCCAAGCAACCUUUGGGCCAGCCCCCGGACUGGCCUCCCUGAGCCCCCGCCCCCGGGCGGGGAUGAACGCUACGUCGCGGCAGUCCGGGGUGGCACCCGGCCUGCCAGGGCCCGAGGUUCCCAAGCGUGUGCAGAAGAAAGAGAGCAGGUUGCUGAGAGCAGGCAGCAGAGAGCGGAUCGAUCGAUCGGUGGGGCAACAUUCUGUCCCGGUCCCCAGGGGUGUCUCUCCUGGCCCACACCGGAGGAAGUGUGUGGGCGCGGCGCGCGGACCCCCGCGGGGGCGGUCGCGUCGCGGGGCGGCCCUCUCCGGUCGUUCGGUCCGCUGGUUUGUGUGUGGCAAUCAAACGUGUGUGGUUCAAAACGAACAGGCGCUGACCCUGGGCACGUCUCCGGACGUCCCCAGUCACCCACGGCCCCCGGCGUCGUCUGGAACGGCCGUCCCUCUCCAGGGGGCGGUCCGGGGUCGUGCCGCUGCGCGUGCUGACUGCACCACGGUCCGUGGUGGUCGCUGCGCCCGGCGGCGGGGACCCCCCAGCAGGGGCCUGGGUGCGGAUGGCAGCAGGGCUUGGCACGGGGUGGUGGCCCCCUCGCGGGGGCCUCACACCCCCCUUCCGGCAGUGCCACUCUCUGCCCGUCUUGAAACACGGAUCAAGGAGUCUAUGGAGCUGGCCGGCGAUAUGGUGCGAGAUACAAAGGACGUACAGGCCGUGAAGCCCAGGCGCGUGGUGAAGGCAAACCGUCCCGGAGGGGCGCGGGGGCCCCCUGGCCCUCCCUCCGCAGGGGAUCACCGGGCCCGCAGUCCGGUGGACAGGGUUUUGAGUGCGAGCCAGGUCCAUGGGACCCGAAAGGUGGUGAACUAUACUGUCCUACGGUGAAGCCAUGGGAAACUGUGGUGGAGGCCGGUCGCUGUUCUGACGUGCAAAUCGUGUAGCCUGAGCGCAGCAUAGGGGUGAAAGGCCAAUCGAACCACCUAGUAGCUGGUUCCCUUCGAAGUUUCCCUCAGGAUAGCA